rnacentral:rRNA from 1 species
GGGGAAUAUUGCACAAUGGGGGAAACCCUGAUGCAGCAACGCCGCGUGAAGGAAGACGGUUUUCGGAUUGUAAACUUCUGUUCUUAGUGAAGAAUAAUGACGGUAGCUAAGGAGCAAGCCACGGCUAACUACGUGCCAGCAGCCGCGGUAAUACGUAGGUGGCAAGCGUUGUCCGGAAUUACUGGGUGUAAAGGGAGCGUAGGCGGGAUGCCAAGUCAGCUGUGAAAACUAUGGGCUUAACUUGUAGACUGCAGUUGAAACUGGUAUUCUUGAGUGAAGUAGAGGUUGGCGGAAUUCCGAGUGUAGCGGUGGAAUGCGCAGAUAUCGGGUGGAACACCGGUGGCGAAGGCGGCCCUCUGGGCCGAGACCGACGCUGAGGCGCGAAAGCUGGGGGAGCGAACAGGAUUAGAUACCCUGGUAGUCCCAGCCGUAAACGAUGGACGCUAGGUGUGGGGGGACGAUCCCCCCGUGCCGCAGCCAACGCAUUAAGCGUCCCGCCUGGGGAGUACGGCCGCAAGGCUAAAACUCAAAGGAAUUGACGGGGGCCCGCACAAGCAGCGGAGCAUGUGGCUUAAUUCGAUGCAACGCGAAGAACCUUACCAAGUCUUGACAUCCUUCUGACCGGACAGUAAUGUGUCCUUUCCUUCGGGACAGAAGUGACAGGUGGUGCAUGGUUGUCGUCAGCUCGUGUCGUGAGAUGUUGGGUUAAGUCCCGCAACGAGCGCAACCCUUAUCCCCAGUAGCCAGCAUUUUGGAUGGGCACUCUGAGGAGACUGCCAGGGAUAACCUGGAGGAAGGUGGGGAUGACGUCAAAUCAUCAUGCCCCUUAUGACUUGGGCUACACACGUGCUACAAUGGCGUAAACAAAGGGAAGCGAGACCGUGAGGUGGAGCAAAUCCCAAAAAUAACGUCUCAGUUCGGACUGUAGUCUGCAACCCGACUACACGAAGCUGGAAUCGCUAGUAAUCGCAGAUCAGAAUGCUGCGGUGAAUACGUUCCCG